rnacentral:rRNA from 1 species
UAGGGAAUCUUCGGCAAUGGGGGGAACCCUGACCGAGCAACGCCGCGUGAGUGAAGAAGGUUUUCGGAUCGUAAAGCUCUGUUGUUAAGGAAGAACGAGUGUGAGAAUGGAAAGUUCAUGCUGUGACGGUACUUAACCAGAAAGGGACGGCUAACUACGUGCCAGCAGCCGCGGUAAUACGUAGGUCCCGAGCGUUGUCCGGAUUUAUUGGGCGUAAAGCGAGCGCAGGCGGUUAGAAAAGUCUGAAGUGAAAGGCAGUGGCUCAACCAUUGUAGGCUUUGGAAACUGUUUAACUUGAGUGCAGAAGGGGAGAGUGGAAUUCCAUGUGUAGCGGUGAAAUGCGUAGAUAUAUGGAGGAACACCAGUGGCGAAGGAGACUCUCUGGUCUGUAACUGACGCUGAGGUUCGAAAGCGUGGGUAGCAAACAGG